rnacentral:rRNA from 1 species
UUCGCAAUGCCCGAAAGGGUGACAAUGCGACGCCGCGUGUGCGAUGAAGGUCUUCGGAUUGUAAAGCACUGUCAGUCGGGAGGAAGGUGACUCUAUCGAACAGUGGAGUUGCUUGACAGUACCGGCAGAGGAAGCCACGGCUAACUCCGUGCCAGCAGCCGCGGUAAUACGGAGGUGGCAGGCGUUACUCGGAUUGAUUGGGUGUAAAGGGCGUGUAGGUGGUGAAUUAAGUCGAUUGUGAAAUCCCUUGGCUUAACCAAGGAACUGCAUUCGAAACUGAUUUGCUUGAGUGAUAGAGAGGUAAGUGGAAUUCCCGGCGUAACAGUGAAAUGUGUAGAUAUCGGGAGGAACGCCGGCGGCGAAAGCGACUCUCUGGUCCGCAACUGACGCUGAGUGCGCGAAAGCCAGGGGAGCAAACGGGAUUAGAUACCCCGGUAAUCCUGGCCGUAAACGAUGGGCACUAAGUAGAGGGGUUUU